GACGAACGCUGGCGGCGCGCCUAACACAUGCAAGUCGAACGAGCGAGAGGAGGUUUUCUUUCUCAAGCGAGUGGCGAACGGGUGAGUAACGCGUGAGGAACCUGCCUCAAAGAGGGGGACAACAGUUGGAAACGACUGCUAAUACCGCAUAAGCCCACGACCCGGCAUCGGGUAGAGGGAAAAGGAGCACUCCGCUUUGAGAUGGCCUCGCGUCCGAUUAGCUAGUUGGUGAGGUAAUGGCCCACCAAGGCGACGAUCGGUAGCCGGACUGAGAGGUUGAACGGCCACAUUGGGAAUGAGGCACGGCCCAGACUCCUACGGGAGGCAGCAGUGGGGAAUAUUGCACAAUGGGGGAAACCCUGAUGCAGCGACGCCGCGUGGAGGAAGAAGGUCUUCGGAUUGUAAACUCCUGUUGUUGAGGAAGAUAAUGACGGUACUCAACAAGGAAGUGACGGCUAACUACGUG
rnacentral:rRNA from 1 species